UUAAGCGACUAAGCGUACACGGUGGAUGCCCUGGCAGUCAGAGGCGAUGAAGGACGUGCUAAUCUGCGAUAAGCGUCGGUAAGGUGAUAUGAACCGUUAUAACCGGCGAUUUCCGAAUGGGGAAACCCAGUGUGUUUCGACACACUAUCAUUAACUGAAUCCAUAGGUUAAUGAGGCGAACCGGGGGAACUGAAACAUCUAAGUACCCCGAGGAAAAGAAAUCAACCGAGAUUCCCCCAGUAGCGGCGAGCGAACGGGGAGCAGCCCAGAGCCUGAAUCAGUGUGUGUGUUAGUGGAAGCGUCUGGAAAGGCGCGCGAUACAGGGUGACAGCCCCGUACACAAAAAUGCACAUGCUGUGAGCUCGAUGAGUAGGGCGGGACACGUGGUAUCCUGUCUGAAUAUGGGGGGACCAUCCUCCAAGGCUAAAUACUCCUGACUGACCGAUAGUGAACCAGUACCGUGAGGGAAAGGCGAAAAGAACCCCGGCGAGGGGAGUGAAAAAGAACCUGAAACCGUGUACGUACAAGCAGUGGGAGCCUCUUUAUGGGGUGACUGCGUACCUUUUGUAUAAUGGGUCAGCGACUUAUAUUCUGUAGCAAGGUUAACCGAAUAGGGGAGCCGAAGGGAAACCGAGUCUUAACUGGGCGUUAAGUUGCAGGGUAUAGACCCGAAACCCGGUGAUCUAGCCAUGGGCAGGUUGAAGGUUGGGUAACACUAACUGGAGGACCGAACCGACUAAUGUUGAAAAAUUAGCGGAUGACUUGUGGCUGGGGGUGAAAGGCCAAUCAAACCGGGAGAUAGCUGGUUCUCCCCGAAAGCUAUUUAGGUAGCGCCUCGUGAACUCAUCUCCGGGGGUAGAGCACUGUUUCGGCAAGGGGGUCAUCCCGACUUACCAACCCGAUGCAAACUGCGAAUACCGGAGAAUGUUAUCACGGGAGACACACGGCGGGUGCUAACGUCCGUCGUGAAGAGGGAAACAACCCAGACCGCCAGCUAAGGUCCCAAAGUCAUGGUUAAGUGGGAAACGAUGUGGGAAGGCCCAGACAGCCAGGAUGUUGGCUUAGAAGCAGCCAUCAUUUAAAGAAAGCGUAAUAGCUCACUGGUCGAGUCGGCCUGCGCGGAAGAUGUAACGGGGCUAAACCAUGCACCGAAGCUGCGGCAGCGACGCUUAUGCGUUGUUGGGUAGGGGAGCGUUCUGUAAGCCUGCGAAGGUGUACUGUGAGGUAUGCUGGAGGUAUCAGAAGUGCGAAUGCUGACAUAAGUAACGAUAAAGCGGGUGAAAAGCCCGCUCGCCGGAAGACCAAGGGUUCCUGUCCAACGUUAAUCGGGGCAGGGUGAGUCGACCCCUAAGGCGAGGCCGAAAGGCGUAGUCGAUGGGAAACAGGUUAAUAUUCCUGUACUUGGUGUUACUGCGAAGGGGGGACGGAGAAGGCUAUGUUGGCCGGGCGACGGUUGUCCCGGUUUAAGCGUGUAGGCUGGUUUUCCAGGCAAAUCCGGAAAAUCAAGGCUGAGGCGUGAUGACGAGGCACUACGGUGCUGAAGCAACAAAUGCCCUGCUUCCAGGAAAAGCCUCUAAGCAUCAGGUAACAUCAAAUCGUACCCCAAACCGACACAGGUGGUCAGGUAGAGAAUACCAAGGCGCUUGAGAGAACUCGGGUGAAGGAACUAGGCAAAAUGGUGCCGUAACUUCGGGAGAAGGCACGCUGAUACGUAGGUGAAGUCCCUUGCGGAUGGAGCUGAAAUCAGUCGAAGAUACCAGCUGGCUGCAACUGUUUAUUAAAAACACAGCACUGUGCAAACACGAAAGUGGACGUAUACGGUGUGACGCCUGCCCGGUGCCGGAAGGUUAAUUGAUGGGGUUAGCGGUAACGCGAAGCUCUUGAUCGAAGCCCCGGUAAACGGCGGCCGUAACUAUAACGGUCCUAAGGUAGCGAAAUUCCUUGUCGGGUAAGUUCCGACCUGCACGAAUGGCGUAAUGAUGGCCAGGCUGUCUCCACCCGAGACUCAGUGAAAUUGAACUCGCUGUGAAGAUGCAGUGUACCCGCGGCAAGACGGAAAGACCCCGUGAACCUUUACUAUAGCUUGACACUGAACAUUGAGCCUUGAUGUGUAGGAUAGGUGGGAGGCUUUGAAGUGUGGACGCCAGUCUGCAUGGAGCCGACCUUGAAAUACCACCCUUUAAUGUUUGAUGUUCUAACGUUGGCCCCUAAUCGGGGUUGCGGACAGUGUCUGGUGGGUAGUUUGACUGGGGCGGUCUCCUCCUAAAGAGUAACGGAGGAGCACGAAGGUUGGCUAAUCCUGGUCGGACAUCAGGAGGUUAGUGCAAUGGCAUAAGCCAGCUUGACUGCGAGCGUGACGGCGCGAGCAGGUGCGAAAGCAGGUCAUAGUGAUCCGGUGGUUCUGAAUGGAAGGGCCAUCGCUCAACGGAUAAAAGGUACUCCGGGGAUAACAGGCUGAUACCGCCCAAGAGUUCAUAUCGACGGCGGUGUUUGGCACCUCGAUGUCGGCUCAUCACAUCCUGGGGCUGAAGUAGGUCCCAAGGGUAUGGCUGUUCGCCAUUUAAAGUGGUACGCGAGCUGGGUUUAGAACGUCGUGAGACAGUUCGGUCCCUAUCUGCCGUGGGCGCUGGAGAACUGAGGGGGGCUGCUCCUAGUACGAGAGGACCGGAGUGGACGCAUCACUGGUGUUCGGGUUGUCAUGCCAAUGGCACUGCCCGGUAGCUAAAUGCGGAAGAGAUAAGUGCUGAAAGCAUCUAAGCACGAAACUUGCCCCGAGAUGAGUUCUCCCUGACUCCUUGAGAGUCCUGAAGGAACGUUGAAGACGACGACGUUGAUAGGCCGGGUGUGUAAGCGCAGCGAUGCGUUGAGCUAACCGGUACUAAUGAACCGUGAGGCUUAACCUU
rnacentral:rRNA from 1 species